rnacentral:rRNA from 1 species
UACGGGGGGAGCAAGCGUUGUUCGGAUUUACUGGGCGUAAAGGGCGCGUAGGCGGCGCAACAAGUCACUUGUGAAAUCUCCGGGCUUAACUCGGAACGGUCAACUGAUACUGCUGUGCUAGAGUGCAGAAGGGGCAAUCGGAAUUCUUGGUGUAGCGGUGAAAUGCGCAGAUAUCAGGAGGAACACCUGCGGCGAAGGCGGGUUGCUGGGCCGACACUGACGCUGAUGCGCGAAAGCCAGGGGAGCGAAGCGGG